GGUGCUCAGUAUUCUUUAUGGUCCAACUCCCACAUCCUUACAUGACUACUGGAAAAACCAUAGCUUUGACUAUAUGGACCUUUGUCGGCAAAGUGAUGUCUCUGCUUUUGAAUAUGCUGUCUAAGCUGAUCAUAGCUUUUGUUCCGAGGAGCAAUCAUCUU